CCGACGAGGCUGGUCCGGGGAUGUGAGGGAUUUCUGCUUCGAAGACACCGACACCAUGCUCUGAAGUGUCGUAUCCACCACUUUUCCAGCUCAAACGAUAGAUUUUUUACGUUUGCAAUGCGGUUUUAUUGGAAUAUAGCGCUUUUUGGACUGGUGCUGCUAGCUGUCCUGCGCGCAACAGAUGGCUUGGAAACAGUGGUGCGCCCCAACAAUGGAUCCUUCGUGACCAUUUCCACCGUUCAGUCAGAGUGUACAGUGUGCGAGGUCACCGGGGUAAAUGCCACCGAGACGACCUGCCACCAGUCCCGCUCCCUGACCCCUGAACAGGAAGUGAAGCUACAAUUCAAAUGCUCAAAGCCCAUAGAGCAGGCUUUCUCUGUCGCCAUCACACACACAAUUGACUGUACCAAAGACUCCUGCAGCCCUGUGUCUGCAGCAGCUCAAGACCUCCUCUCAGAUCUCCCCCGCGUUUAUAAUUGGGAGCUCACUGCACCUCCAAAGACCAGCGUGAGACUGGACCCACAGGGAAAAGGACUGUCUAAAACCAAAAAGCCUUGUCCAGACGGGGUUCUGCUGUCCCUGUCCCAGUCCCAGUC
ensembl:lncRNA